rnacentral:rRNA from 1 species
GACGAACGCUGGCGGCGUGCUUAACACAUGCAAGUCGAGCGGAGCGGAGAACGGGUGAGUAAGGCGUGAGUAACUGCCCCCCUCUCUGGGAUAACAGUUGGAAACGGCUGCUAAUACCGGAUAGUGGGGGAUGGCUCGGGUCCUAUCAGCUUGUUGGGGGGGUGGCGGCCUACCAAGCCGACGCGGGGUAGCCGGCCUGGGAGGGCGACCGGCCACCUUGGUCUAGGGUACGGCCCAAACUCCUACGUGAGGCAACAGUGGGGAGUAUUGCACAGUGGGGGAACCCCUGAUGCAGCAGCGCCGCGUGCGUGAUGACGGCCUUCGGGUUGUAAACCGCUUUCAGCCAUGACGCGGUAGUGGCAGAAGAAGCACCGGCUAACUACGUGCCAGCAGCCGCGGUAAUUC